rnacentral:rRNA from 1 species
AGUGAACGCUGGCGGUAGGCCUAACACAUGCAAGUCGAACGGCAGCACAGUAAGAGCUUGCUCUUACGGGUGGCGAGUGGCGGAUGGGUGAGGAAUACAUCGGAAUCUACUUUUUCGUGGGGGAUAACGUAGGGAAACUUACGCCAAUACCGCAUACGACCUACGGGUGAAAGCAGGGGAUCUUCGGACCUUGCGCGAUUGUAUGAGCCGAUGUCGGAUUAGCUAGUUGGCGGGGUAAAGGCCCACCAAGGCGACGAUCCGUAGCUGGUCUGAGAGGAUGAUCAGCCACACUGGAACUGAGACACGGUCCAGACUCCUACGGGAGGCAGCAGUGGGGAAUAUUGGACAAUGGGCGCAAGCCUGAUCCAGCCAUGCCGCGUGGGUGAAGAAGGCCUUCGGGUUGUAAAGCCCUUUUGUUGGGAAAGAAAAGCAGCAGGUUAAUACCCCGCUGUUCUGACGGUACCCAAAGAGUAAGCACCGGCUAACUUCGUG